AUGACCGAAGUGUUGGCUGAGGCAGUGAAGUGUGCACAAGCGCUUAAGACUGGUGAACUGAUUGCUGACACUAGAGUUAAGGAAGCUUUUGCAGAGCUAAUGAAUAAAGUGUGCCCACGUCUACCUGAGAGCCUACAGGAUCAACUGCUUGUUGAUUUGAAACUCAACAUCCUCUGUCAGGCACAAGAGAAAAAUACUCCCCCGGCUGAGUUGAUGGAACAUAGGAACUACCUCGGGAAAAAAGGAACUCGUACCAAUACCUGGUGGAUUAAAGAAAACCUAGUCCUGUUAGUCGGCUCCAUGUCACAGGAUACUGAAUAG
rnacentral:rRNA from 1 species